AUGAACGCUAGCUACAGGCUUAACACAUGCAAGUCGAGGGGCAUCAGGGUGUAGCAAUACACCGCUGGCGACCGGCGCACGGGUGAGUAACACGUAUCCAACCUGCCCUUUACUCGGGGAUAGCCUUUCGAAAGAAAGAUUAAUACCCGAUGGUAUAACAUGACCUCCUGGUUUUGUUAUUAAAGAAUUUCGGUAGAGGAUGGGGAUGCGUUCCAUUAGGCAGUUGGCGGGGUAACGGCCCACCAAACCUUCGAUGGAUAGGGGUUCUGAGAGGAAGGUCCCCCACAUUGGAACUGAGACACGGUCCAAACUCCUACGGGAGGCAGCAGUGAGGAAUAUUGGUCAAUGGGCGAGAGCCUGAACCAGCCAAGUAGCGUGAAGGAUGACCGCCCUAUGGGUUGUAAACUUCUUUUAUAUGGGAAUAAAGGGUGCCACGUGUGGCAUUUUGUAUGUACCAUAUGAAUAAGGAUCGGCUAACUCCGUGCCAGCAGCCGCGGUAAUACGGAGGAUCCGAGCGUUAUCCGGAUUUAUUGGGUUUAAAGGGAGCGUAGGUGGACAUGUAAGUCAGUUGUGAAAGUUUGCGGCUCAACCGUAAAAUUGCAGUUGAAACUGCGUGUCUUGAGUACAGUAGAGGUGGGCGGAAUUCGUGGUGUAGCGGUGAAAUGCUUAGAUAUCACGAAGAACUCCGAUUGCGAAGGCAGCUCACUGGACUGCAACUGACACUGAUGCUCGAAAGUGUGGGUAUCAAACAGGAUUAGAUACCCUGGUAGUCCACGCCGUAAACGAUGUCGACUUGGAGGUUGUGCCCUUGAGGCGUGGCUUCCGGAGCUAACGCGUUAAGUCGACCGCCUGGGGAGUACGGCCGCAAGGUUAAAACUCAAAUGAAUUGACGGGGGCCCGCACAAGCGGAGGAACAUGUGGUUUAAUUCGAUGAUACGCGAGGAACCUUACCCGGGCUUAAAUUGCAAAUGAAUAUGCCGGAAACGGCAUAGCCGCAAGGCAUUUGUGAAGGUGCUGCAUGGUUGUCGUCAGCUCGUGCCGUGAGGUGUCGGCUUAAGUGCCAUAACGAGCGCAACCCUUAUCUUCAGUUACUAACAGGUCAUGCUGAGGACUCUGGAGAGACUGCCGUCGUAAGAUGUGAGGAAGGUGGGGAUGACGUCAAAUCAGCACGGCCCUUACGUCCGGGGCUACACACGUGUUACAAUGGGGGGUACAGAAGGCCGCUACACAGCGAUGUGAUGCCAAUCCCUAAAGCCCCUCUCAGUUCGGAUCGAAGUCUGCAACCCGACUUCGUGAAGCUGGAUUCGCUAGUAAUCGCGCAUCAGCCACGGCGCGGUGAAUACGUUCCCGGGCCUUGUACACACCGCCCGUCAAGCCAUGGGAGCCGGGGGUACCUGAAGUACGUAACCGCAAGGAGCGUCCUAGGGUAAAACUGGUGACUGGGGCU
rnacentral:rRNA from 1 species